AUCUAGCAGACGAGUUCAAAACAGGACGAAAAGUGCGUCCUGCAU
rnacentral:hammerhead_ribozyme from 1 species